rnacentral:rRNA from 1 species
UACGUAGGGGGCAAGCGUUGUCCGGAUUUAUUGGGCGUAAAGAGCUCGUAGGCGGCUUGGCAAGUCGGGGUGUGAAAACUCCAGGCUCAACCUGGAGAUGCCACUCGAGACUGCUAUGGCUAGAGUCCGGUAGGGGACCACGGAAUUCCUGGUGUAGCGGUGAAAUGCGCAGAUAUCAGGAGGAACACCGGUGGCGAAGGCGGGUCUCUGGGCCGAUGACUGACGUGAGGAGCGAAAGCGUGGGGAGCGAACAGG